rnacentral:rRNA from 1 species
GGGCCCUUUUUCUAGCCGCGUGGUCGAUUCCCUGCGGGGGCAACCUCGUAAGGGGCGUACUGCGGGCGGGGCUCAUAUCUUUCUCGAAGACUACCUGCGCCCUUUACUGGGAUGUGGGAUUUGGGAUUCGAGACGUUUACUUUGAAAAAAUUAGAGUGUUCAAAGCAGGCAGUUUCGCUUGAAUACAUUAGCAUGGAAUAAUGGAAUAGGACUUUGGUCUUAUUUUGUUGGUUUCUAGGACCGAAGUA